UUGUUUUUUUACCGUAAUUAGUUGUAUAUAAAUAACGUGCGAGAAUAAUUAAUAUCAUUGCUGUUUGAAAUCACUAGCUAUAACCAUGACUUACGCGUUUGCAUUUGUGACUGUGCUUAUUGUGUCUUUUGUUGUUGCGGUGCCAGUGGAUAAAGACACUCCUCUAAGUUGUCCAGAGAAUGAAAAAUAUUACAAAUGUUCCCUUGAAGUAUGUUACAAAACAUGUGAACAUUUGAAAAAUCCACCCCCGUGUCCAAGUAUCUCUAGUGAUUGCUUUUUACCAUCCUGCGAGUGUAAGCGCGAUUACUUGAGGAACAGCGAUGGCAUCUGUGUACCAUAUGUAGAUUGUUAAAUAUCAAUUUAAAUUAAAUGAACAUUUAAGAUUA